rnacentral:lncRNA from 1 species
GGGCCCAACCAUCGUCUCCGGCUGAGUAGCCGCCAUGUCCGCGAGCGGACAACCUCCGUCCUCCGACUGCGAAAGUCCUCGUUUUGACGUUUGGUUAGCAACGGACAUCUUAGGUGGGAGAGACACCCUCGUCAAGAACAGCGGAAAGACCCACCUCCAUCAUCGUCUUCCAAAACCGGCUUAUCCCCUCUAAUCCCUUCUCUAAUCACCGUUCCCGCAUCUUCCUUGCUGCUGCUCCGACGCCAAGAAAGAGGACAGCUUGGCGACCCGCUUCUCCAGCUCACGGAAAGGAGCGGAAGCGGAUUCGAAGAGAGACGGGGAGAGAGGAAGAAAGGUAUAUCCAUUGUUCUUUUUAGCUACUGAAGAGGCGUUAAAGUCGGGGAGCGGCUUGUUGAAGAAUGGAGAGCCGCGUCGGCAACGGGGAAAGCAUAAGUAGCAGUGGCAGUAGCGUGGCUCUGAGCAAUCAGAAGAAGCCCUUUCAGGGAAUACGGGUACAGAAUCCGUUUACUUUCAAAGUGGGUCAGGUAUUCACCGGCUUCGGCAUUGGUUGCGGUCUUGGUAUCGAA